rnacentral:rRNA from 1 species
AGUGAACGCUGGCGGUAGGCCUAACACAUGCAAGUCGAACGGCAGCACAGUAAGAGCUUGCUCUUACGGGUGGCGAGUGGCGGACGGGUGAGGAAUACAUCGGAAUCUACUUUUUCGUGGGGGAUAACGUAGGGAAACUUACGCUAAUACCGCAUACGACCUACGGGUGAAAGCAGGGGAUCUUCGGACCUUGCGCGAUUGAAUGAGCCGAUGUCGGAUUAGCUAGUUGGCGGGGUAAAGGCCCACCAAGGCGACGAUCCGUAGCUGGUCUGAGAGGAUGAUGAGCGACACUGGGACUGAGACACGGUCCAGACUCCGACGGGAGGCAGCAGUGGGGAAUAUUGGACAAAGGGCGCAAGCCUGAUCCAGCCAUACCGCGUGGGUGAAGAAGGCCUUCGGGUUGUAAAGCCCUUUUGUUGGGAAAGAAAAGCAGCAGGUUAAUACCACGCUGUUCUGACGGUACCCAAAGAAUAAGCACCGGCUAACUUCGUG